UUUUUACAACGAAGAGUUUGAUCCUGGCUCAGGAUGAACGCUAGCGGCAAGCCUAACACAUGCAAGUCGAACGGUAACUUUUGGUGCUUGCACCGAAAGACGAGUGGCGAACGGGUGCGUAACGCGUAUGCAAUCUGCCUUUUACUAGGGUAUAGCCCAGAGAAAUUUGGAUUAAUCCCCUAUAAUAUCAUUUUUCCGCAUGGUUGAAUGAUUAAAGCUUCGGCGGUAAAAGAUGAGCAUGCGUCUUAUUAGUUUGUAGGUGAGGUAACGGCUCACCUAGACUACGAUAGGUAGGGGCCCUGAGAGGGGGACCCCCCACACUGGUACUGAGACACGGACCAGACUCCUACGGGAGGCAGCAGUGAGGAAUAUUGGACAAUGG
rnacentral:rRNA from 1 species